rnacentral:rRNA from 1 species
UACCAGCACCCCGAGUGGUCGGGACGUUUAUUGGGCCUAAAGCAUCCGUAGCCGGUUCUACAAGUCUUCCGUUAAAUCCACCUGCUCAACAGAUGGGCUGCGGAAGAUACUAUGGAGCUAUGAGGCGGGAGAGGCAAGCGGUACUCGAUGGGUAGGGGUAAAAUCCGUUGAUCCAUUGAAGACCACCAGUGGCGAAGGCGGCUUGCCAGAACGCGCUCGACGGUGAGGGAUGAAAGCUGGGGGAGCAAACCGG